rfam:Ovis aries breed Texel chromosome 5, whole genome shotgun sequence.
UCCCUCAUGGCUCAGAUGGUAAAAGCGUCUGCCUAAAAUGUGGGAGACCCAGGUUCAAUCCCUGGGUCGGGAA